rnacentral:rRNA from 1 species
GGCGGCGUGCCUAAUACAUGCAAGUCGAGCGGACAGAUGGGAGCUUGCUCCCUGAUGUUAGCGGCGGACGGGUGAGUAACACGUGGGUAACCUGCCUGUAAGACUGGGAUAACUCCGGGAAACCGGGGCUAAUACCGGAUGGUUGUUUGAACCGCAUGGUUCAAACAUAAAAGGUGGCUUCGGCUACCACUUACAGAUGGACCCGCGGCGCAUUAGCUAGUUGGUGAGGUAACGGCUCACCAAGGCAACGAUGCGUAGCCGACCUGAGAGGGUGAUCGGCCACACUGGGACUGAGACACGGCCCAGACUCCUACGGGAGGCAGCAGUAGGGAAUCUUCCGCAAUGGACGAAAGUCUGACGGAGCAACGCCGCGUGAGUGAUGAAGGUUUUCGGAUCGUAAAGCUCUGUUGUUAGGGAAGAACAAGUACCGUUCGAAUAGGGCGGUACCUUGACGGUACCUAACCAGAAAGCCACGGCUAACUACGUGCCAGCAG